rnacentral:rRNA from 1 species
UACGUAGGGUGCAAGCGUUAAUCGGAAUUACUGGGCGUAAAGCGUGCGCAGGCGGUUAUGUAAGACAGGUGUGAAAUCCCCGGGCUUAACCUGGGAACUGCAUUUGUGACUGCAUAGCUAGAGUACGGCAGAGGGGGAUGGAAUUCCGCGUGUAGCAGUGAAAUGCGUAGAUAUGCGGAGGGACACCGAUGGCGAAGGCAAUCCCCUGGGCCUGUACUGACGCUCAUGCACGAAAGCGUGGGGAGCAAACAGG